rnacentral:rRNA from 1 species
CAUAGGUUUGGUCCCAGCCUUCCUGUUAACUCUUAAUAAACUUACACAUGCAAGCUUCUACACCCCAGUGAGAAUGCCCUCUAGGUUAUUAAAACUAAGAGGAGCUGGCAUCAAGCACACACCCUGUAGCUCACGACGCCUUGCUUAACCACACCCCCACGGGAAACAGCAGUGACAAAAAUUAAGCCAUAAACGAAAGUUUGACUAAGUUAUAUUAAUUAGGGUUGGUAAAUCUCGUGCCAGCCACCGCGGUCAUACGAUUAACCCAAGCUAACAGGAGUACGGCGUAAAACGUGUUAAAGCACCAUACCAAAUAGGGUUAAAUUCUAACUAAGCUGUAAAAAGCCAUGAUUAAAAUAAAAAUAAAUGACGAAAGUGACCCUACAAUAGCCGACGCACUAUAGCUAAGACCCAAACUGGGAUUAGAUACCCCACUAUGCUUAGCCCUAAACACAGAUAAUUACAUAAACAAAAUUAUUCGCCAGAGUACUACUAGCAACAGCUUAAAACUCAAAGGACUUGGCGGUGCUUUAUAUCCUUCUAGAGGAGCCUGUUCUAUAAUCAAAUCACUAGU